rnacentral:misc_RNA from 1 species
AAGUCGUAACAAGGUUUCCGUAGGUGAACCUGCGGAAGGAUCAUUACUGAGUCUGGGCCACCCUUCACCGGGACCCGACCUCUUAAACCCAGUGUCAAAAUUACACCUUGGAUGUUGCUUCGGCGGGACGGUCGCUCACCCGACCGCCGGGGGCGUUGGUCUUCAGAUCGACCCUCUGGAGCGUUUGCCCGCCGAUGGCCUACCCAAAACUCUUGAACUAAACCAUGAUGUCUAAACAAGUAUACCCCAUAUAUCAAUGGAUAAACAAAA